GAUGAACGCUGGCGGCGUGCUUAACACAUGCAAGUCGAACGGUGAACGAGGGAGCUUGCUCCCUCCGGAUCAGUGGCGAACGGGUGAGUAACACGUGGGCAAUCUGCCCCGAACUCUGGGAUAAGCGCUGGAAACGGCGUCUAAUACCGGAUACGACGCGCGAAGGCAUCUUCUGCGCGUGGAAAGAAUUUCGGUUCGGGAUGAGCUCGCGGCCUGUCAGCUAGUUGGUGAGGUAACGGCUCACCAAGGCGACGACGGGUAGCCGGCCUGGGAGGGUGACCGGCCACACUGGGACUGAGACACGGCCCAGACUCCUACGGGAGGCAGCAGUGGGGAAUAUUGCACAAUGGGCGAAAGCCUGAUGCAGCAACGCCGCGUGAGGGACGACGGCCUUCGGGUUGUAAACCUCUUUUAGUAGGGAAGAAGCGAAAGUGACGGUACCUGCAGAAAAAGCACCGGCUAACUACGUGCCAGCCGCCGCUGUAAGAC
rnacentral:rRNA from 1 species